CUGGUAUAUUUUUGCUGAAAUAUAAAAAAUAUGUGUGAAAAAUUUUUUUAAAGCCCACCACCACCAACACAUGUGAUUGCUCCUAACCUCAUCCCAUCUCAUUCUUAUCCAUUAAGGACAAUUCCAUCUCCACCAGGUGGCUUGUGUAGCUCAAGAGGGAAGCGUAGGGGAAAGAGUUGAAAAUUUCCUGGUCAGCUGAAAGGAAUCACAUUGGCUGGGACAAAAGGGUUAAUUAAAGGAGAGUAGGAACAAGAGAGGAGGGAAAGAAAAGAGCCUGCCAAAGAAAAGUUGGGGAAAUUUUCCAGGAGCCGAAGAGGGACUACAGAUGGCACGGCUGGAUUGGAUUCUCACUGGCCAUCGCAGGUGCUUAGGAAACCUUGUUGAAAGAUUCUGUGAAUGUCUACUCUUCUGACCUGUGCUGACUGGGAUUGGACUAAAUGGAUUAGCCAAGGAUGGGAGGAACAGAUUCCACUAGUCUAAGGCACAUCGUCUCUGAGCUGGACUACAGCAGGCCUCCACCUUCCUCCUUCCCAUCUGUUUCUACUCAGGGCCCCUGUUCAUCUAAUUUCCAUGGAGGUCUUUUUUAAAAAAAUCAAGCAUGGUCUUGUUACACUUUGUGCUCAAACUCCUUAAGUGGAAAAGAAUUCAAGACCCUUAGUAUGACCCUUGAGGUCCCCUAUGACCCUGCCUCCCUCGCAGUCCCCUUUCACAGCAAUCUGCUCUCGUUCAUAGUGGUCCAGCCACACUGGCUGCCUUUGGUUUCCAUAAAUGCACAAACCUCUUUCCUUCCUCAGGCCUCUGCAUGGGCCAUUCCUCAUUCCACGCUCCCCUGACCCCAACCCAGUUCACUCUUCACUCUAACUCUUCCUUUACACCUUAGCUUAAACAUCAGUCCCUAAGAAGGCCUUCUCUGAUGCCUAUUCUAAGAUAGAUACCCACUUACACCACCACCACCAAAAACUCUGUAUUUUAUAUAUUACCAUGUGUAGUAAUACAUUUAUUUCUGUGAUCAAAAGAAUGUUAUUCCCCAGCUAGUCUAUAAGCACCAUGAGGAAAGGGCCUGGGUUACCUUGCUCUUCACUGUAUCUUCAGCCUGUAGAACCCAAGGCACAGUGUAUGUAUUUGGCAAAUGUGUGCUGAAUGAGCAAAUGAAUGAGUGGAAUGGAUAACAUGCAAAAGCCUGCAUCUACACAGUGAGGUUUCAUAGUCUCUCCACCAAAAUCAGAGUAGGAAAACAUUAUUAAAUACGCCAUGCAAACAUCUCGUCUUUGUGAAAGUCUGGGAUCUUUCACAAGGGUCUACAAGCUGGUGCCAGGCCUGGGUUCCAAUUCCCACAACCCUUCUUUUUUAGGUAUGAGUAAAAUACAGAGAAUAGGAUUUUUAAGAACUUCAGGAGGUUUCACGUCUCACUAUAUGAAGUAUCUUAGAAUGUACUCAUACACCAACUUGAAAAAUUACAUGUAAGUUAUAUUUAAGUGUUGAGUUGCUAAGUGAUUUAGUAGGUUGACCUAAUGUUACAUUUUAUAGAUAUUUAAUUAAACACAUUUGUUUGGGUUCUUCAGUUAACUUUCUGUAUUUUUGAGCCAGUUUUCUUUCUGUGUUUUGAGCUUUCUGUAUUUUAUAAUCUAUUUGGGGUCACAAACAUUUUCACUGGCUUCUAAAAAGGGUGUAGGCCACAGGCACAGGGAAUUUAAAGUCCAAUAGAAACAAAAAAUUUUGCAUAUAGGCACUCCUAAAGGGGAAAAGUAGCCGGGAAAAGGUUAUGAAAAGGUCAAGUGUGUGGCUGUGGUUUUGCAUGUGUAUGUGUGAGUUGUGAAGGCCACGUGGAAGCCAGCCUUGUUACCAACAAACUAGCCUAGGAAGCUGGCCAGUGGAGGCAAGCCAUUGAGUAAGGUAAUUAUGGAAUCAUGUGUUUAAAAACACACAUAGUAUUUUGUUUAAACAUUGAAAAGACCAUUACCUCCCAGCCACCGCCCUGUAUGAUGGAAACAAGUGAAUUCACAUAGGCCCUGGCUUACAGGAGCUCACAGUUCAAGGAGAAAGACACAAAAGAAAUUACAGAAUGUUCAAAUCUAUACUCAGUAGUUUUAUCGUUUGUGGGGAAAAAACCCUAUAUUUGAUAUUUGGCAAUUAUUUUCUCUAUAUUGUAAGUUUAAGCAAAUAAGUAAAUUAUAAAUGAUAGAUCCCUUGGGGUGGAAUGUCCAGAUUGGUGGUAUGAAGAGCUUGAUGAGUUUUCUCCCUCAAAGAAACAUGAUUAAGCUUGUGGAAAUUGGACAGGAUUAAGAUGGCAGAGUAGGAGGACUGGCACUUACCUUCUCUCACGAAAAACAACAAAAUUACAACCAACUGCUGAACAAGCUUCAACAAAAUAGACUGGAAACUAUCAAAAAAGGUAUUAUACUCCAAAAGACAAAGAGGCCACCUUGAGAUGGUAGGAGGGGCAAUUGUGUGAUAUAAGCAACCGCAUACCCAGUGGGUGGGAAGCUCAGAGUCUGGAAAGUAACUUAUAUCUCAGAGGCUCACCCAUGGGAGUGAGAGUUCUGAGCUCCAUGUCAGGUUCCCACACCUGGGGAUCUUGCUUUGGGAGGAGCAGUCCCCAGAGCCUUUGGCAUUUAGGGACAGUGGGGCUUAUGCCCAGGAAUUCCAUGGGACUGGGAGGAAUGGUGACUCUACUCUUGAAAGGUACACACAGGCUCCCAUGUGCAGUGGGUCCCAGGGCAAAGCAGAGACUCCAUAGGAAUCUGGGUCAGACCUGC